rnacentral:snRNA from 1 species
CACUCUUGUUUCUCUUCACAUCGUGUAAAACGUUUCCCUUUUACCAAAGAUUUCCGUGGUAGAGGAACAAUGAGAGUUCAUCUUAGUUUCUUGAUGCUUUGUGAAAACGGGGCU